rnacentral:rRNA from 1 species
UACGAAGGGGGCUAGCGUUGUUCGGAAUCACUGGGCGUAAAGCGUACGUAGGCGGACAUUUAAGUCAGGGGUGAAAGCCUGGAGCUCAACUCCAGAACUGCCUUUGAUACUGGGUGUCUUGAGUCCGGGAGAGGUGAGUGGAACUGCUAGUGUAGAGGUGAAAUUCGUAGAUAUUAGCAAGAACACCAGUGGCGAAGGCGGCUCACUGGCCCGGUACUGACGCUGAGGUACGAAAGCGUGGGGAGCAAAC